CGGUCUAGUAUAAGGCAUUAUACCGUGAAACUGCGAAUGGCUCAUUAAAUCAGUUAUCGUUUAUUUGAUAAUACCUUACUACUUGGAUAACCGUGGUAAUUCUAGAGCUAAUACAUGCUGAAAAUCCCGACUUCGGAAGGGAUGUGUUUAUUAGAUAAAAAACCAAUGCCCUUCGGGGCUCUUUGGUGAUUCAUGAUAACUUUACGGAUCGCAUAGCCUUGCGCUGGCGACGGUUCAUUCAAAUUUCUGCCCUAUCAACUUUCGAUGGUAAGGUAUUGGCUUACCAUGGUUUCAACGGGUAACGGGGAAUUAGGGUUCGAUUCCGGAGAGGGAGCCUGAGAAACGGCUACCACAUCCAAGGAAGGCAGCAGGCGCGCAAAUUACCCAAUCCCGACACGGGGAGGUAGUGACAAUAAAUACUGAUACAGGGCUCUUUUGGGUCUUGUAAUUGGAAUGAGUACAAUUUAAACCUCUUAACGAGGAACAAUUGGAGGGCAAGUCUGGUGCCAGCAGCCGCGGUAAUUCCAGCUCCAAUAGCGUAUAUUAAAGUUGUUGCAGUUAAAAAGCUCGUAGUUGAAACUUGGGCCUGGCUGGCGGGUCCGCCUCACCGCGUGCACUCGUCCGGCCGGGCCUUCCUUCUGAAGAACCUCAUGCCCUUCACUGGGCGUGUUGGGGAAUCAGGACUUUUACUUUGAAAAAAUUAGAGUGUUCAAAGCAGGCCUUUGCUCGAAUACGUUAGCAUGGAAUAAUAAAAUAGGGCGUGCGUUUCUAUUUUGUUGGUUUCUAGAGACGCCGCAAUGAUUAACAGGAACAGUCGGGGGCAUCAGUAUUCAGUUGUCAGAGGUGAAAUUCUUGGAUUUACUGAAGACUAACUACUGCGAAAGCAUUUGCCAAGGAUGUUUUCAUUAAUCAGUGAACGAAAGUUAGGGGAUCGAAGACGAUCAGAUACCGUCGUAGUCUUAACCGUAAACUAUGCCGACUAGGGAUCGGGCGAUGUUCUUUUUCUGACUCGCUCGGCACCUUACGAGAAAUCAAAGUUUUUGGGUUCUGGGGGGAUUAUGGUCGCAAGGCUGAAACUUAAAGAAAUUGACGGAAGGUCACCACCAGGCGUGGAGCCGCGGCUUAAUUUGACUCACACGGGGAAAUCUCCAGGUCCCAUGAAAUAAGGAUUGGCCAAUUGGAACCCUUCUUGAUUUUUCGGGGGGGGGGGAGGGCGGUCUUAUUUUGGGGGGGAUGUUGUGUUUAAUGUGAAAACAACAGAGACUAUUUGUUAAAAAACAGGAAAAUUUUGUGGGGGCCCGCCUUUUAGAGAAAUAACCCCCUUUAGGGAAUUUGGGGAAAAAAGCUGUGGGCCCUUAUUUUUGGGGCCCCCCCCCCCUCAAAAAAAAAAAAUUUCCCUUUCCAAGGGGGGAAGUUGUAUUUUGGGGGGGAGGAAAAAAUUUUUUCAAAAAAAAAAAAGGGGGACCCGCGUUUUUCCUUUUCCCCCCCCCCUAUCAG
rnacentral:rRNA from 1 species